UGGGUCACAGGGAAAAAAAAACACGGGUCUGUCCAUGGCUAUACAAGAAAGAGUCCAGCCCAAGGCCACUCCAUCAUCUCUUCCACUCAGGAUUCUUCUCUCUUCCAGCUUUCCUCACGCUUGCCCAUCUCUCAUCUCUCUCUCACCUCAUCCUGAUUCAGGAGGAUUCAGUAUUUGUAAGGUUUCUAUUAGUCUACAAAGGGGUUAAAAUCUUCAACUCUGCCUGCCCAAGGACUCCCACAUCUGCCGGGCACCUUCUCUCGACGCAUCCCCCGCUUCUGGCCGGCUGAGUUGCCAGCACAAUCUCUGUCCCUCUCUCCGGGGGGGCUGCCCAGACAUCCCAAGUCUCUUCCACCCCUGCAUGUUCUCCUCCACCUCUGCACCUUUUGGGGCUCCCGGCCUCCUCCCUGUCAUGGCCUCCCCCUCCCCCACCCAGACGCAGCUGGGCAGGGGAGAGGCCAGACUCUACUCACCAACGCCGGGUUCCCAAAGAGGAAGUUCUCUGGGAAUCUCCUGCUUUUAACCCCCGUGUGUUCUCAGAGGCGUAUCCAAACCCUUAGUGGCCACCUUAAAUGCCAAUUUUGAAUUUGGCCCCUGAUUGGCCCGACUUAGACCUUUCCAAAAACACAUUUCCGGGCCAAACCACGACACUUCCUCACCCUGUUUUAUAGACAGCACGACACCAGACAGUAUUGGAUACCCCUUUGAUCAGCUGGGGUCAGCUGUCCUGGCUGUGCACCCUCCCAGCUUCUGUUGUGCACCACCUGCUCAGUGGUGAGGGGCUGUGAAAGGCAAAAAGACCUUGACUCUGUAGAAGCACUGCUCAGCAAUAAUCAAAAUGUCUCUCCAUUACCAACUCUGUUUCCAGCACAAAUCCAAAACACAGCCCUAGAGCAGAUACUAUGAAGAAAGUUAACUCUUUUCCAGCCAAAACCAUUAUGGACCAGUUCGAGUAAGCAAGCCAGGCCUUGUUAUCCCACCUGACUUUCGUCUCACAACAUCCAUUCUCAUAGGACUUACUGAACAUAUGGAGAGAAUUCUUACCAUUUGGUACUAUGACUCUACCACUCAAAAGUAGCCAGAAAAGAAACAUUCCACACAGGAAGACAAACUCAUGCCCACUCCAAGAAUCUGGUUCAGUUACAGGUACAAGGAAAGAAAGAGAUGAGAGAAAAAGAUCACAGAUAUGGAAUACAUUACCUCUAAAGUUAAAAUUCAGAUUUUUUUCAGAAAUAAAUAGAUAUGUCAGAUAUUUAAAAAAAAUAAAUAUUUUAUCUCUGCCUCAAUAAAGCCAUACUAAGAGUACAUUAAAUUUAAAACUGAGAUUGCUAAGGUGAUUCAUAUCCUUAAUAAACAAAUUGAAGAUCCCUAGCAGAAUUCUUCUAUGUUUUUUUAAAAAAGGUAUGCUUUUAUGUGUGAAUGUGACAUAUUUUCAAUGUACUUUCAGGUAUUUUUUUUAAUACUAACAAAUAUGUAAUGUCUAAUACUACUUGUAUUCUAAUACCUUUUCUUGUAUUUCAGCUCUUCACCUCAUAUCUAAUGAUCUUGGACAAAACCCCUAUAUUAUCUCACAGAAGUUCCAAUCAAAGUCUUUAAUUAUUAGUAUUUUUUUCAGAUCAAUUUUAUUCUAACAAAAUCUGGAAUACCUUAUGUGACAGUGAAAGUGAAAAACAAAAGGAGCACACAGUAUAACAGUUAAAGGCCCAGUGACAUCUGAAGUACCCUGCCGUAUAUGAGAUAUUCAAUGAAGGUCUAACAGGUAUGAAUCAAAACCUAUAAGAGUCUGGUGAGCCCUUGCGGAGGCAGCUGAACAACAGAUGGGAGACUUAGGCAUCUAACAGGAUUGAAUCAAGUCAGUUCAGUUAUGCUCUAAAGCAACACUUGGUACAUGUAGAAAAUGUGUCAGUAGCUUCACUGUAGUAGCCCUGAAAAUUUUAAGAAAAAUUCGAGGUUUUUUUAAGUACAAAAUGCUUUUAGUUCCCGCUCAGUACAGCUGAAGUAAAUUAAGAUCUUAUCACUAUAUGCAUUCUUUUUAAACAUAUAAUUUCAUAUGUAAUUUCAGUAUAUUUAGUAUAUCAUUCAUAUAUGUGAUCCCUGUACUUAUGAACUUAUGUAAAAUAAAUGAAUAGGGAGCUGCUCUGUUGCCAGGAUAAAUCACCUAUAUUAAUAUGCUGAAUGACUACCUAAGCAUUAAAUAUAACCAGAAUACUACUAAAUCGAUUCUUGAUGUAAUUCUGAGACUCAAUAUGGUUUUUGAUGUAUCAACCAGGUCUUUGUUAUAUUCUGGAAAACAAAAAUAUUCUAGGAACUCAAAGUACAAAUGGAAUAAGUUUGCUGUCCUUCCUUUAAAGCAUUACAAGAAAGUGUAAUGCCAGAAAAGAUGUCAGUGGAACUGUGAAGACUUUCUAAAAAGUUUUGAAAAGAAUCUGUAUUAUGAGACAAACAAACUCCUACUACAAGAGUAGUUUGCAUGGUAAAUCUGGUGGAAUGAACAUAUUGUUGAGUAAUUGUAGUAAAUCAUGUGUGUAAUAAAUCACGUGUGUAAUAAAUCAUCAAUUGUAGUAAAACAGAUUGUAUUGCAGUAAAUCAUCAGGUGUAAGUAGUAGCCAUGUACUGAAAGUAUGAAGGUAAUGCUAUUCAAAGCAAAGCAUGCUGAAGUAGAUAUGUGACUUCUUAUACAAGUUAUCGGCCUUUGCAUAUUGUGUUAUUAUUCACAUGAUUUUUUUAGGGUUUUUUUUUAGAUUCACUUUACAUUUUGCUUGCAGCUGUCAUAAAACAUAAAGCAUUAGCAACCUCCUUACCUAUGUAAUAGGAGCUGUCAGAGACAGCACCCUUCAGCAACCCUUCAUUUUACCUAGGCAGUUUUAAAUAAAAUAAAAAGCAUAAAUCCUAGUAGAAUUUUCAUCCCAGUUCCCUCCAUCCUUAGAAGUUUUACUAUGAAUAUUCUUGAUCUCUACCCCUAUGCUCAGCUUCUAUUCUCUAUUCAGUGCUUUUAAGCAGUCUUUCUGCUUCUAGAAGGAUAUGAAGAGGUGAACAUAAACCACAUUAUCAACCAAAAACCUUACCUGAUUAGAAUAAUAUUAGUAAAGUGCUAUUACUUACUUUUUCUUUUUGUAAGAAUUUU